CGCUCUGGUGGCCUAGUGGCUAGAGAUCCGCCUCGGAUGCGGAAGAUCCUGGGAUCGAUCCCCAGUCGAGUCA